rnacentral:rRNA from 1 species
GUGGUCAAGCUACUAAGAGCGCGCGUGUGGAUGCCUAGGCGCAAACAGGCGAAGAAGGACGUGGUCAACUGCGAAAAGCCUCGGGGAGCCGUAAACAGGCUGUGAUCCGGGGAUAUCCGAAUGGGGAAACCCGAUGCAUGCGAACAUGCAUCAUCGCCAUCUGAAUCCAUAGGGUGGCGAAGCGAACCCGGGGAAGUGAACCAUCUCAGUACCCGGAGGAAGAGAAAACAACCGUGAUUCCGAAAGUAGUGGCGAGCGAAAUCGGAAGAGCCUAAACCGUGCGAUUCCGCAAGGGAGAGCGCGGGGUUGCAGGACCGCAAACAUUACCUGGGGCCGGGUUCCCGAAAGGGAGACGGGCUCAGGCGAUGUAAAGAGGGACGAGAGAGCGUUAAUCGAACGGUCUGGAAAGGCCGGCCAGAGAGGGUGACAGCCCCGUAGAUGAAAAUGCACUCAAACCUUCGAGCGGCUCCUAAGUACCGCGGGGCACGAGAAACCCUGCGGGAAUCUGCCGGGACCAUCCGGUAAGGCUAAAUACUCGUUUGCGACCGAUAGUGAACCAGUACCGUGAGGGAAAGGUGAAAAGCACCCCUGCGAGGGGAGUGAAAUAGUACCUGAAACCGCGCGCUUACAAGCAGUGGGAGGGCCAUGCCGCAAGGCAAGCCUGACCUCGUGCCUAUUGCAUAAUGAGCUGGCUAGUUAUUCUCAGUGGUAAGGUUAAGCUAAGAAGCGAGCCGCAGCGAAAGCGAGUCCGAACAGGGCGCUGAAGUCGCUGGGAAUAGACGCGAAGCGGGAUGAUCUACCCUUGGCCAGGAUGAAGGUCGUGUAACAGCGACUGGAGGUCCGAACCGGUGUUGGUUGAAAACAGCUCGGAUGAGCUGAGGGUAGGGGUGAAAGGCUAAUCAAAUUCCGUGAUAGCUC